GACGAACGCUGGCGGCGUGCCUAAUACAUGCAAGUAGAACGCUGAAGAGAGGAGCUUGCUCUUCUUGGAAGAGUUGCGAACGGGUGAGUAACGCGUAGGUAACCUGCCUUGUAGCGGGGGAUAACUAUUGGAAACGAUAGCUAAUACCGCAUAGCAAUGGGUGACCCAUGUCAUUCAUUUGAAAGGGGCAACUGCUCCACUACAAGAUGGACCUGCGUUGUAUUAGCUAGUAGGUGAGGUAACGGCUCACCUAGGCGACGAUACAUAGCCGACCUGAGAGGGUGAUCGGCCACACUGGGACUGAGACACGGCCCAGACUCCUACGGGAGGCAGCAGUAGGGAAUCUUCGGCAAUGGGGGCAACCCUGACCGAGCAACGCCGCGUGAGUGAAGAAGGUUUUCGGAUCGUAAAGCUCUGUUGUAAGUCAAGAACGAGUGUGAGAGUGGAAAGUUCACACUGUGACGGUAGCUUACCAGAAAGGGACGGCUAACUACGUGCCAGCAGCCGCGGUAAUACGUAGGUCCCGAGCGUUGUCCGGAUUUAUUGGGCGUAAAGCGAGCGCAGGCGGUUUGAUAAGUCUGAAGUUAAAGGCUGUGGCUCAACCAUAGUUCGCUUUGGAAACUGUCAAACUUGAGUGCAGAAGGGGAGAGUGGAAUUCCAUGUGUAGCGGUGAAAUGCGUAGAUAUAUGGAGGAACACCGGUGGCGAAAGCGGCUCUCUGGUCUGUAACUGACGCUGAGGCUCGAAAGCGUGGGGAGCGAACAGG
rnacentral:rRNA from 1 species